ACUUAAGAAGGCUUAAUUAAUAUUUUUGAUAAUAUUGCUAUAUGGAUAGACUUUUAGUUAAUUAAGCUAAUUUUAAACAUAGCUAGUCAUAAAUGCCCAAGUUUCUAGCCCAUUCCUUAAGCUUAAUAUCCAAUACCCAUUAAGUUAAUCCUAGGAACCUUUCUAGACUCUUCUUUGGAACAGAAAAUAAAUAAAAAGGCCCUAAGGACUUAACAUAAAAAGACCUAGGGACUAAUUGUCAAAAUACACAAAAAAACACAUUAAACCUAGACCUAUAUUAGGUAACGCCUAAUACACUAAAAAGGGGAGAUGAGAGAAUCAACGCAGCUUUUUGAAAAAGAGACCCUCCCGUUCGUCUUCUUCUUCACAAAUCAACAACCAGAGAGACCCCCCAGUCACGUCUUUAUCUUCUUCAACCCUUACACACCCUAAUCCCCCUUGUUUCUUUGUCUCCACCUCAAAACCAGUCAAAGCAGCCAUUAAAAUUAACCCCAAACAGUCACAAAAAAUCGGUAAAUGGUUGUUUCCUUCAGCUGAAUUUAAAAAGGAAUUCGAAAAGGUCGAGUCCAAAGUAUAUUGUGUCAUCGGGGUUCGAGUUUCUGCCCGUCGAUGUUUCGGACUUGUUGAAGUCUCAUUACUGUUGAAGUUGUCGAAUCUGCUAGGUUAUCUGGUUCAGAGCUAUGGAUUUGUGCUCUAGUUGCUAUUGUUGUUGAUCUUCCUUACAAAUAGAAGUCGGAGCUGUUUGCGGUUGUUUCUCCUGCAAUUAGUAGCUGAACACCCAUUUGAAGUUAUUUUCGGCCUUUAUUUGACUAUUUUAAAGUCUUACUACUGCUGUCCAGAAAUUUUCAUAUAUAAAAAGCUGUUUUGGAGCCGUGGAAUUGCCGCUCGUUGUCCGUUGAUUUGCGUUGUCAUUACACAGUUUCUCGUUGCUGUUCUAUUGCUAUGGAGCUUCAUUUGUUUUUAAUUUCAUACUUUAUUUGAUUAAUUUCUGCCGGAAAAAGGAAAUGACUGGAGUUGUGUACUGCAUUUGGAGCUGUGUAGUCAAAUGCAUUUGCUGAAGAACCCGAAAUCACUGCGUGAGAUCCGCUGGUUCUCAUCGGAAUUUUGGGAGUCAAAUGUAAAGUAGUGGCUGACUAUUUCUACUUCUAUCAAGGAGAUAUUCGCUGGAACAGAAUGAGCACGAGUUAAAAUUUGCCAAUGAAGGUCAUGACCAAGAUUCCGUUGGAACUACACAUAUGGUAAGAAUAUUUAGGUGGGCAAGGACGAGAUACAGUCAACCAUUACUUGGGGGGCUCACCGGUUUACUAAAGACCAGGACCAUGGGAGAUAUAAUCAAAGCACUAGUAAGAUUCUGGGAUCCAGCUCACAAUGUUCUGCAUUUUUCGGACUUUGAACUUACAUCCACUUUGUAGGAGAUAGCGGGAUAUGCCGGGAGUAUCGAGGGUCAAAGACACAAGUACUUGGUCGCUUCAAGGGUCGUUACCCCUCACAAGUUUCUGGAUUUGUUGAAAAUAAGCAUGGGGGUCCAGUAUGCAGAUUUGGCAGCGGGGUUUUCCACUCUAAGCUUCAUAUACCAGCGGUACGGACAUGUAGGACGGUUUGAAAAUCUGGAAAGCAGAAUCUGCAGUAAAGGGAAUCGAUCAAAAUGGGAAGAGCAUAGAUGUUUCGCCUUUAUGGUAGCAAUUCUGGGUCUUCUAGUGUUUCCCAAGAAGGACGAGAAUAUUGAUUUGCGGGUAGCCGGAGUUGUCAACACUUUGAUUACUAACGCUAAAAGCACCCUCGCACCUAUGAUAGUGUCUGAAAUAUUUCGAGCCCUCACAGCCUACAAAGAUGGAGUAGAUUAUUUUGAAGGGUGCAAUCUGUUGCUACAAAUAUAGAUGAUUGAGCAUUUAUGUCAUCGCCCUCAGUACAUGAACUAUGGGUCGACAAGGAAAAAUUGCAUAGAGGAGUUUUAUACAAGGGUCAACAGGUUCAAGAUGCCGGAAGGGGUCGCAGAUUGGAUAUCCUACCUCCGUUCCAUAUAUGCUGAUAAAAUAGAGUGGACGUUGGGUUGGCUUCCUGUUGAUGAAAUUAUAUACAUGCCUGCCACCAGUCCCCACUUCCUCCUGAUGGGUCUCAGAAGUAUCCAUCCUUAUGCCCCGUACCGGGUUUUGAGACAGCUGGGAAGAUGCCAAAUAAUUCCAAAGGAUGAAGACCUUAGCACUCAUGCAGUCAAGAUCCAUUUUGAUGGCCAAUUUCAUGAAGUGGCGGUUCGCCAGAUCUGGAGUGAAUGCCAGUACAUGACAACAAACACCCGAGUGCUUGAUCUAUCCAAGGGUGAAGUCUCGUCUGGUUAACUUGCUUGGUAUAAAAGAAGUGUUGAGUUUGGAAGACCAGCCAAAAAACCCCAUCUUCAAGAAUUUGUCGAAGCUUCACAAGAAUAAUGGGACUGGUUGGCCAAAGAAAAUGAGUAUAGGGCCACCAUAAGCAAGCUGGAAAAGCAAGUCAAAGAUCUUCAAUUUGAGAAUGGUUUGCAAGCCGCUGCGGAUGAGGGUGAAAAGAAAAGGCUAGCCAAAGAAAAUGAUGCCCUCCGAGCCCAAAUCUAAGAGAUAAAGAUAGCCACUGAGAACCCCGCCAGGAGUGAGAAAGAUAAGAAACUUAUAGACAACCUUAGGCAGAAGGUAGGUGACUACGGAUUUGACUUGGGAAAGACUGAAGCUGAACUAGCACAGGCUCGAGCAAAGUUAGCUAAGAAUGCAGAUGGGCGGGCGAAUUUUGUUCGACAGCUGAAGAAAAAGUACGACAAAGGAAUCAUGGGUCUGAAGAAAAGGGUCAAUGUCCUUGAGAACGAAAUGACCAAGUAGGCAAGAGAUUUCAAAGCAGAAAGAGAACAUUGCUAUGCCCUGAUGCCGCAGCUAGAGAAAGACCUGCAGCAGCUUCAAGAGCAAAAUCAGACAACCGAACAAGUUUUGGGGGCCAGAUCUCAGCAUAUCAGAUAGUUGCUACAAGAGAAGGGUAUUAUCAGGGAGAGGGUUAGGAGGAUUGCGGACUACAUUGUGAUAAAGUGCAACGAAUGCGAGGACAUGACCAGGUCCAUGUUCUUCGCUUCAGUUAUGAUUUUUGUCUGGCAGAUCAUGGAUGACCUAUUUCGCCUCUAAGAAGAUAUGGCGCAUAGGCCCGCGGCGAGACCGAUUGAUGUCCCGCGGGACCCUGGAGCAGCAGUUGAGGCACUCAUGUAUUUCUGAUUUUAUUGUUCGAGUCUGUAUUUUCAGUUUCUUUUGGAGUUCGUUAGUCCACUUUCGAGUCUGUAUUUCAUUUUUUCUUUUGGAGUCUGUUAGUCCACCUUUCGAGUCUGCUAGUUUUUAUGUUUAAUUCUGUAGGAGAAGUCGUCAUAAUCAGGAUGUUUUUGUUUUAUUUUAUGAAAAUUUGAAAACCCAAAAAAUGUAUCUUCUUUUA